AACGCAUAUUGCACUCUCUGGUAAUCCGGGGAGUAUGCCUGUUUGAGGGUCAGUAUAAUAUAAUAAUUAUCACGAUCUCACCGAUUGUGGAAUUGGGCUCUUAUUUCGAACAGAUUUAUGGCCUUAAAUUUACGCCAUGCGAUUAAUUCGAACCAAGCGGAGCAAUUAAACAUUCUCUCGUGGACGGAUUACUUGCAAGCCAUUACGGUUUUUGGACGACAAAGCACUCUCACGAGCGCGAAGCCCAAAGGACGUAAAUUAAUUGACAAAUGACCUCAAAUCAGGCAAGAAUACCCGCUGAACUUAA
rnacentral:misc_RNA from 1 species